UAGGGAAUCUUCCGCAAUGGGCGAAAGCCUGACGGAGCAACGCCGCGUGAGUGAUGAAGGUCUUCGGAUCGUAAAACUCUGUUAUUAGGGAAGAACAAAUGUGUAAGUAACUAUGCACGUCUUGACGGUACCUAAUCAGAAAGCCACGGCUAACUACGUGCCAGCAGCCGCGGUAAUACGUAGGUGGCAAGCGUUAUCCGGAAUUAUUGGGCGUAAAGCGCGCGUAGGAGGUUUUUUAAGUCUGAUGUGAAAGCCCACGGCUCAACCGUGGAGGGUCAUUGGAAACUGGAAAACUUGAGUGCAGAAGAGGAAAGUGGAAUUCCAUGUGUAGCGGUGAAAUGCGCAGAGAUAUGGAGGAACACCAGUGGCGAAGGCGACUUUCUGGUCUGUAACUGACGCUGAUGUGCGAAAGCGUGGGGAUCAAACAGG
rnacentral:rRNA from 1 species